rnacentral:rRNA from 1 species
UACGAAGGGGGCUAGCGUUACUCGGAUUGACUGGGCGUAAAGGGCGCGUAGGCGGCUUGUACAGUCAGACGUGAAAUUCCUGGGCUCAACCUGGGGGCUGCGUUUGAUACGUGCGGGCUUGAGUUCGGAAGAGGGUCGUGGAAUUCCCAGUGUAGAGGUGAAAUUCGUAGAUAUUGGGAAGAACACCGGUGGCGAAGGCGGCGACCUGGUCCGACACUGACACUGAGAGACGAAAGCUAGGGGAGCGAAUGGG